GGCGGUGUAGCUCAGCCGGUUAGAGCGACGGCUUCAUAAGCCGCAGGUCGUGGGUUCGAGUCCCUCCACCGCUA
rnacentral:tRNA from 1 species